GGAAGGUAACUCAGAGGUCUCCACUGCAAACUCAUACCUGAACAGGAAUAUUUUACAACAUUCCUGAUGAGAGGCGAUCCACCCCUUUGUAGACUUGCAGUGAUGAAGAACUCCCUAUCUUCCUAGGCAGUCCCUUUAACUUUUGGACAGCUCUGAUUUGUUAAUUUUUUUUUCCAUUGAUUGAGCUGAAAUCUGUCUCUCAGCAACUUUCACUCACUACACCUAGUUCUGCCUCUGGGGCCAAGCAGAACAAGCCUAAUCCCUCUUCCACAUGACAAGCCUUCAAAUACAUGAACACAGUGAUGAUGUCCCACCCCUCACCCCCUUAUAUCUUCUCUUCUCCAGACUAAACACCUCCAGUUCUUUCUACUGAUCCUUGCACGUUUCCACUGCCUAGGAAACUCUGCCUGGGGCCAUCAUGGCAACUCCUAAAUGUGCUGGGGAUGAACCAGGGACCAAAUGGCAGCUCUACCCACUCCCCAAAGUUCCUCAAGGUGGCUCUCUCUUGAAAAGCUCAAGGCAAGCUGAUCGGCCUUUGCUCGGAGAGGGAAGCCGCUCCCACGGGUCAAUGCUCAGGUUUCCAGCCCUGUUGACUCAUCAGGUCCUACCCUGCCAGGAGCCUUGCUGCCACUGCCCUAAUGCACCUUGGGCUCACCAUCUGUAAAAUGGGGAUAGAUUCGGAAGCCCUCUAGUGUGAGAUGCUUAGGGAGUUAAUACCUAAAUGGACUGGAUGGCUAAGGUAGGGUAAAGUAUCUUGGUUACAGUAGCCCCUACUGUGGGGGUUGGGGAAGGUAGGGGGGGAAGAGGGGCAGGGUCUCUGCUGGCCAAGGAACCUCCACCCACCCUCACCUGGAGAUAGGUUAACUGCUUAUACUUGGGGCAAGGGAUCAACUAGCUGGUUAUGGGAUGGGAAUUAUUCUGACAUUUUCCAGAUGGAGAAAAUAGGGCCUUGAGAGAAAAGAAUAUGUCCCUCCUCUUUCCCCUUCUCAAAAUCUAUCCCUUUACUUAAGAUCCCUCUUUUGUUUUGUUUUGUGUUCUGGAGAUGAUGUGAUUGGUUAGAGAACCAUAAAUCUAUAGCGCUCUGGGACUAAAUAUUCUCAGAUUUUUUCUGGGGCCCAGAGUAAUUAAGUGACUUGCUCAGGGUCACAUAACAUGUGUAAGGCCUAGGGAGUGAACCCAAAUCUUCCUGACUCCAACGGCAUCCUUAGGAAACUGUUCAUUAUCCUCAAAGUCAGUGCUGGGGUGGGGGACUUGAAGCUGUGCAAGUGUUCUGGUGUGAAGGACACUGAGUGGAGAAUGGAGACCAACUUGGGGAGAAGCCCUUUGACUGUGCAGUAUAGUAGGAAGAACACUGGGUUUAGAGUUAGAGGACCUCAUUUCAAAAGUCAGAUCUGCUACCUACCUGUGUGAGGUUAAGGCUGCUUUUUAAGACUUAUUAACUAAGUCAUUAACAGGCUGCUAUCUGAAAUGGUGGCGGGUGUUCCUACACUAUGAAUUCUUUCCAUAUCAGAGUAAGAAACUACAUGAAGAGGCUUCAUGGGCCUUGUAUGAUCUUUCAGAACAGUCUCAUUUUAAUUUAUAUAUCCAAUGAUAAUGCUAUUAACUUAAAAACUUUCUUUUAACAAAAUAUUGUUCUAUAUUUUAAAUAUUGUCUCCAUUUCCCAGUGUAUAUUUCUCCUCUCUCCUUCUCUCAGAGAUCUAUCCCUUAAAGGAAGGAAAUAAAGGGAAAAAGGGUCAGUAAAACCA
rnacentral:lncRNA from 1 species